AUUGUCAUGAUCACAUAUAAAAACAAUAUAUGAUAUAUUGAUACAAUGUAUGCGUUUUGAAACUUGUCUAAAUUAAUUGUACAAACAAUUAUUUAUUCCAUAUAUUCUCUUGUCAUCAACUACACAAUCACAUCAUGAUAUGCUAGUAAUUCAAGUCACACUUUAAUUCUUUUCACUUGCAUAUAGCCAUAUAGAAUCUCAUAUUU
rnacentral:sRNA from 1 species